UUUGAAAUCUGGCAGUCUUCGAUUGUCCGAGUUGUAAUCUAUAGAGGCGUUUUCCGUGCCGGACCGUGUCCAAGUCUCCUGGAAAGGAGUAUCAAAGAGGGUGAUAAUCCCGUACUUAACACGACCACCGGUGCUCUGUGAUACGUCUUCUACGAGUCGAGUUGUUUGGGAAUGCAGCUCAAAAUGGGUGGUGAAUUCCAUCUAAAGCUAAAUAUUGGCGAGAGACCGAUAGCGAACAAGUACCGUGAGGGAAAGAUGAAAAGCACUUUGGAAAGAGAGUUAAACAGUACGUGAAAUUGUUGAAAGGGAAACGAUUGAAGUCAGUCGUGUUCUUUGGAUUCAGCCAGUUCUGCUGGUCUACUUCCUUGGAACGGGUCAACAUCAGUUUUGUCCGGUGGAUAAAGGUAGUAGGAAUGUGACUUCUCCGGAAGUGUUAUAGCCUAUUAUCACAUACACUGGGUGAGACUGAGGACUGCAGCUCGCCUUUAUGGCCGGUCUUCGGACACGUUCGAGCUUAGGAUGUU
rnacentral:rRNA from 1 species